AUUAGAUGGCGGUACAUGUAGUUUGAAUAGAUGUGGCAGUCAGUCAGAAUUAGAUGGCGGUACAUGUAGUUUGAAGACUCACAUGGUUUGAAGAUCAAAUGUUGUUUACAAAUUGGGUUUAUAUAUAUAUAUAUAUAUGGGUGUCUAACUAAUAAAUUAAUCCUUCACUCACUAAAAUUAAGGAUGGAUGCUCUUGCAGCAUUGGCCUUCCGUCCUUCAGUGCGGCGCUGGUUGUGGCAAAUCACCAAAAGCAACUCGAAAUGGAUUCCAUAGUAGAUUUGGAGUCAGAUUGCAGCAAAGGAAUAUGGCAACAACAAAACAUGUCACAGGGACACUGAGGAGGUAGAAGGAAGGAAGCAUGACAAGGAACUCUUCCUGAAUCCUCCGGAACACAGUCACUCACUCAUCCUAAAAUUAUUGCGGGCACAGAGCUACCGAACUUAUGACGACUUGAAGCAGAUUCAAAUCCAUUCACGUGAGUGACAUGGAUGCGUCAAGACAGAUGCUCAUCCAUGUAACCCUGGUCUGGAAGGUCACCUUUCUUUCUUUCUACGCGUCCGAUACGACCUCCGGAAUUUUGAAAUUCUCUAAGGGGUCCUCUUUCCACUGUUGACGACCAACUUGGCGCCAAGACAUCGAAACUAGUCGCAAAAGGGGUUUCAAAGGAACCUGUCAAAACCUCGACGCAGAAACCCAACUGCGGUUUCUCCUCCAAAACACACUCGACCUCUGUCUCCUCAUCGCUCAUGAAACUAAUGCCAACACUCGAUCAAUCACCAGAGGCUCCUAAACCCACAAGUACGCAGAAAAGUGGGAAGCAUCUGGCACAGUCACCGGCCCCCUUUGUUCUCAUACGCCUUACCCGAGAGAGAGAGAGAGAGACAUCCAUUUUCUAUCAAGCUUGUCAUCGCCGACUUGAUACACUGGGCGUUCCGCUUGUGCUCUCAAUGAUUGCUUGCGCAGCAGCAGCCGAGUCGUAUACCCAGACCGAUCUCCACUCAUUAACUACCUGCCCUGCCCUGCCUGCACUGGAUCGCACCGCCUUCUUCUAUC
rnacentral:lncRNA from 1 species